rnacentral:tRNA from 1 species
AUGUAGCCAAGUGGAUCAGGGCGUGGAUUGUGAAUCCACCAUGGGGGGGUUCAAUUCCCGUUGUUUGCC